ensembl:snRNA U1 U1 spliceosomal RNA
CUACCAGCGGCUGUGGGACCGUGGGUGGUGGGUCGUUUUCCACGCUUCUUUUGUUGUACAGCACCAGGUGAAAAGACUGUAGUAGGUUUCCUUUGUGUGGUUGUGCUGACCCCUGUGAAUUCCCCAAAUGCGGGAAUCUCAACUGCAUAAUUUGUGGUAGUGGGGGACUGCGUCAAGCGCUCUCCCUCA